rnacentral:rRNA from 1 species
GACGAACGCUGGCGGCGUGCCUAAUACAUGCAAGUUGAGCGCUGAAGGUUGGUACUUGUACCGACUGGAUGAGCAGCGAACGGGUGAGUAACGCGUGGGGAAUCUGCCUUUGAGCGGGGGACAACAUUUGGAAACGAAUGCUAAUACCGCAUAAAAACUUUAAACACAAGUUUUAAGUUUGAAAGAUGCAAUUGCAUCACUCAAAGAUGAUCCCGCGUUGUAUUAGCUAGUUGGUGAGGUAAAGGCUCACCAAGGCGAUGAUACAUAGCCGACCUGAGAGGGUGGUCGGCCACAGUGGGACUGAGACAGGGACCAAACUCCUACGGGAGGCAGCAGUAGGGAAUCUUCGGCAAUGGACGAAAGUCUGACCGAGCAACGCGGCGUGAGUGAAGAAGGGUGUCGGAGCGUAAAACUCUGUUGGUAGAGAAGAACGUUGGUGGGAGUGGAAAGCUCAUCAAGUGACGGUAACUACCCAGAAAGGGACGGCUAACUACGUG